AGAGUUUGAUCCUGGCUCAGAUUGAACGCUGGUGGCAUGCUUAACACAUGCAAGUCGAACGGUAACAGGUCUUCGGAUGCUGACGAGUGGCGGACGGGUGAGUAACGCGUAGGAAUCUGCCCAUCUGUGGGGGAUACCAGUUGGAAACGACUGUUAAUACCGCAUAAUAUCUGCGGAUUAAAGGUGGCCUUUGCGCUGCCGCAGAUGGAUGAGCCUGCGUUGGAUUAGCUAGUUGGUGGGGUAAGGGCCUACCAAGGCUACGAUCCAUAGCUGAUUUGAGAGGAUGAUCAGCCACAUUGGGACUGAGACACGGCCCAAACUCCUACGGGAGGCAGCAGUGGGGAAUAUUGGACAAUGGGGGAAACCCUGAUCCAGCAAUGCCAUGUGUGUGAAGAAGGCUCUAGGGUUGUAAAGCACUUUAGUUGGGGAGGAAAGCCUGUGAGUUAAUAGCUUGCAGGAAGGACGUUGCCCAAAGAAUAAGGACCGGCUAACUCCGUGCCAGCAGCCGCGGUAAUACGGGGGGUCCGAGCGUUAAUCGGAAUUACUGGGCGUAAAGGGUCUGUAGGUGGUUUGUUAAGUCAGAUGUGAAAGCCCAGGGCUCAACCUUGGAACUGCAUUUGAUACUGACAAACUAGAGUAUGGUAGAGGAAUAGGGAACUUCUGGUGUAGCGGUGAAAUGCGUAGAGAUCAGAAGGAACACCAAUGGCGAAGGCAACAUUCUGGACCAAUACUGACACUGAGGGACGAAAGCGUGGGGAUCAAACAGGAUUAGAUACCCUGGUAGUCCACGCUGUAAACGAUGAGUACUAGCUGUUGGAUUCGGUGUAAAGGAUCUAGUGGCGCAGCUAACGCGUUAAGUACUCCGCCUGGGGACUACGGCCGCAAGGCUAAAACUCAAAGGAAUUGACGGGGACCCGCACAAGCGGUGGAGCAUGUGGUUUAAUUCGAUGCAACGCGAAGAACCUUACCUGGUCUUGACAUCCUGCGAACUUUCUAGAGAUAGAUUGGUGCCUUCGGGAACGCAGUGACAGGUGCUGCACGGCUGUCGUCAGCUCGUGUUGUGAAAUGUUGGGUUAAGUCCCGCAACGAGCGCAACCCCUAUUGAUAGUUACCAUCAUUAAGUUGGGUACUCUAUUGAGACUGCCGCUGACAAGGCGGAGGAAGGUGGGGACGACGUCAAGUCAUCAUGGCCCUUACGACCAGGGCUACACACGUGCUACAAUGGGUAUUACAGAGGGCUGCGAAGGUGCGAGCUGGAGCGAAACUCAGAAAGGUACUCUUAGUCCGGAUUGCAGUCUGCAACUCGACUGCAUGAAGUCGGAAUCGCUAGUAAUCGCAGGUCAGAAUACUGCGGUGAAUACGUUCCCGGGUCUUGUACACACCGCCCGUCACACCAUGGGAGUGGGUUGCUCCAGAAGUAGAUAGCUUAACGAAUGGGCGUUUACCACGGAGUGAUUCAUAACUGGGGUGAAGUCGUAACAAGGUAGCCGUAGGGGAACCUGCGGCUGGAUCACCUCCUU
rnacentral:rRNA from 1 species